rnacentral:rRNA from 1 species
CACGUAGGGUGCGAGCGUUGUCCGGAAUUAUUGGGCGUAAAGAGCUCGUAGGCGGUGUGUCGCGUCGGCCGUGAAAACCUGCAGCUUAACUGUGGGCUUGCGGUCGAUACGGGCAUCACUGGAGUUCGGCAGGGGAGACUGGAAUUCCUGGUGUAGCGGUGAAAUGCGCAGAUAAUCAGGAGGAACACCGGUGGCGAAGGCGGUUCUCGUGGGCCUUACCUGACGCUGAGGAGCGAAAGCGUGGGGAGCGAACAGG